rnacentral:rRNA from 1 species
GAUGAACGCUGGCGGCGUGCCUAAUACAUGCAAGUCGAGCGAACAGACGAGGAGCUUGCUCCUUUGACGUUAGCGGCGGACGGGUGAGUAACACGUGGAUAACCUACCUAUAAGACUGGGAUAACUUCGGGAAACCGGAGCUAAUACCGGAUAACAUGUUGAACCGCAUGGUUCAACAGUGAAAGACGGUCUUGCUGUCACUUAUAGAUGGAUCCGCGCCGCAUUAGCUAGUUGGUAAGGUAACGGCUUACCAAGGCAACGAUGCGUAGCCGACCUGAGAGGGUGAUCGGCCACACUGGAACUGAGACACGGUCCAGACUCCUACGGGAGGCAGCAGUAGGGAAUCUUCCGCAAUGGGCGAAGGCCUGACGGAGCAACGCCGCGUGAGUGAAGAAGGUCUUCGGAUCGUAAAACUCUGUUAUUAGGGAAGAACAAAUGUGUAAGUAACUAUGCACGUCUUGACGGUACCUAAUCAGAAAGCCACGGCUAACUACGUG